UACGUAGGGUGCAAGCGUUGUCCGGAAUUAUUGGGCGUAAAGAGCUCGUAGGCGGUCUGUCGCGUCGGCUGUGAAAACCCGGAGCUCAACUCCGGGCCUGCAGUCGAUACGGGCAAACUGGAGUGUUGCAGGGGAGACUGGAAUUCCUGGUGUAGCGGUGAAAUGCGCAGAUAUCAGGAGGAAUACCGAUGGCGAAGGCAGUACUCUGGGCUAACACUGACGCUGAGGUGCGAAAGCGCGGGGAGCAAACGGG
rnacentral:rRNA from 1 species